AUUGAACGCUGGCGGCAGGCCUAACACAUGCAAGUCGAGCGGACGAACGGAGCUUGCUCCUGUAUUCAGCUGCGGACGGGUGGGUAAUGCCUAGGAAGCUGCCUGGUAGAGGGGGAUAACGUCCGGUAACGGGCGCUAAUACCGCAUACGUCCUGAGGGUGAAAGGGGUGGAUCUUCGGACCUCACGCUAUUAGAUGAGCCUAGGUCGGAUUAGCUAGUUGGUGGGGUAAAGGCCUACCAAGGCGACGAUCCGUAACUGGUCUGAGAGGAUGAUCAGUCACACUGGAACUGAGACACGGUCCAGACUCCUACGGGAGGCAGCAGUGGGGAAUAUUGGACAAUGGGCGAAAGCCUGAUCCAGCCAUGCCGCGUGUGUGAAGAAGGUCUUCGGAUUGUAAAGCACUUUAAGUUGGGAGGAAGGGAAGUAAGUUAAUAUCUUGAUGUUUUGACGUUACCAACAGAAUAAGCACCGGCUAACUUCGUG
rnacentral:rRNA from 1 species